rnacentral:rRNA from 1 species
ACGAACGCUGGCGGCGUGCUUAACACAUGCCAGUCGAACGGAAAGGCCCUGCUUGCAGGGUACUCGAGUGGCGAACGGGUGAGUAACACGUGGGUGAUCUGCCCUGCACUUCGGGAUAAGCCUGGGAAACGGGGUCUAAUACCGGAUAGGAGCCAUUUUUAGUGUGAUGGUUGGAAAGUUUUUUCGGUGUAGGAUGAGCUCGCGGCCUAUCAGCUUGUUGGUGGGGUAAUGGCCUACCAAGGCGGCGACGGGUAGCCGGCCUGAGAGGGUGGACGGCCACAUUGGGACUGAGAUACGGCCCAGACUCCUACGGGAGGCAGCAGUGGGGAAUAUUGCACAAUGGGCGCAAGCCUGAUGCAGCGACGCCGCGUGGGGGAUGACGGCCUUCGGGUUGUAAACUCCUUUCGCUAGGGACGAAGCUUUUUGUGACGGUACCUAGAUAAGAAGCACCGGCUAACUACGUG